rnacentral:rRNA from 1 species
CGGACGGGUGAGUAACGCGUGGGUAACCUGCCCCAUACAGGGGGAUAACAGCCGGAAACGGCUGCUAAUACCGCAUGCACAUGCGGGGGCGCAUGCCCCUGGAUGGAAAGCUUUCGCGGUAUGGGAUGGGCCCGCGUCUGAUUAGCUGGUUGGCAGGGUAACGGCCUACCAAGGCGACGAUCAGUAGCCGGCCUGAGAGGGCGGACGGCCACACUGGGACUGAGACACGGCCCAGACUCCUACGGGAGGCAGCAG